rnacentral:ncRNA from 1 species
AUCUUUGCACUAAAUUUUGGUGUUACAAAUCCGCAUUACCGGAUGAGUAAUUAAAAGGGAAUCAGGUGUAAAUCCUGAACAGACCCGCUGCUGUAAGCUCUUUUCAGUGAGCAGUUAACAGUCAUCAGUUAACAAUUUUGCUGAAAAAAGUCUUUGAACAAUACCAAACACCACUGUUUCACAGUAAUCAGUGAUACAGUAAUCAGUUAACAGUUUUUUUGACUGUUUACUGAUAACUGCUAACUGUUUACUGAAAAUGGGAAGGCCGUUCAAGGAUGGAGCAAGUCAGAAAACCUGCCAAAGCGUUAUUAGUUGAA